CCUACGGGUGGCAGCAGUGAGGAAUAUUGGUCAAUGGACGCGAGCCUGAACCAGCCAAGUCGCGUGAAGGAUGACGGCUCUAUGGGUUGUAAACUUCUUUUAUAAGGGAAUAAAGUGAGGCACGCGUCCCUGUUUGUAUGUACCUUAUGAAUAAGGAUCGGCUAACUCCGUGCCAGCAGCCGCGGUAAUACGGAGGAUCCGAGCGUUAUCCGGAUUUAUUGGGUUUAAAGGGUGCGUAGGUGGGUUGUUAAGUCAGUGGUGAAAGUUUGCGGCUCAACCGUAGAAUUGCCGUUGAAACUGGAAGGCUUGAGUAUAGUUGAGGUAGGCGGAAUGCGUGGUGUAGCGGUGAAAUGCUUAGAGAUCACGCAGAACCCCGAUUGCGAAGGCAGCUUACCAAGCUACUACUGACGUUGAUGCACGAAAGCGUGGGGAUCAAACAGGAUUAGAUACCCGAGUAGUC
rnacentral:rRNA from 1 species